rnacentral:lncRNA from 1 species
GGCUACUUCAUUGGGAAGGUAGUAGGCAGUAUCGUUGGGAAGGUAGUAGGCUACUUCGUUGGGAAGGUAGUAGGCUACUUCAUUGGGAAGGUAGUAGGCAGUAUCGUUGGGAAGGUAGUUGGCUACUUCGUUGGGAAGGUAGUACGCUACUUCGUUGGGAAGGUAGUAGGCUACUUCGUUGGGAAGGUAGUAGGCUACUUCG